rnacentral:rRNA from 1 species
CAGUAGCCGCGGGAAUACAGAGGGUGCGAGCGUUAAUCGGAUUUACUGGGCGUAAAGCGUGCGUAGGCGGCUUCUUAAGUCGGAUGUGAAAUCCCUGAGCUUAACUUAGGAAUUGCAUUCGAUACUGGGAAGCUAGAGUAUGGGAGAGGAUGGUAGAAUUCCAGGUGUAGCGGUGAAAUGCGUAGAGAUCUGGAGGAAUACCGAUGGCGAAGGCAGCCAUCUGGCCUAAUACUGACGCUGAGGUACGAAAGCAUGGGGAGCAAACAGGAUUAGAUACUCGCGUAGUCCCUGUCUCUUAUAC